rnacentral:rRNA from 1 species
UCCUGGCUCAGAACGAACGCUGGCGGCGUGGAUAAGACAUGCAAGUCGAACGAGAGAAUUGCUAGCUUGCUAAUAACUCUCUAGUGGCGCACGGGUGAGUAACACGUGAGUAACCUGCCCCCGAGAGCGGGAUAGCCCUGGGAAACUGGGAUUAAUACCGCAUAGUAUCGAAAGAUUAAAGCAGCAAUGCGCUUGGGGAUGGGCUCGCGGCCUAUUAGUUAGUUGGUGAGGUAACGGCUCACCAAGGCGAUGACGGGUAGCCGGUCUGAGAGGAUGUCCGGCCACACUGGAACUGAGACACGGUCCAGACACCUACGGGUGGCAGCAGUCGAGAAUCAUUCACAAUGGGGGAAACCCUGAUGGUGCGACGCCGCGUGGGGGAAUGAAGGUCUUCGGAUUGUAAACCCCUGUCAUGUGGGAGCAAAUUAAAAAGAUAGUACCACAAGAGGAAGAGACGGCUAACUCUGUGCCAGCAGCCGCGGUAAUACAGAGGUCUCAAGCGUUGUUCGGAAUCA